AGCGGAGUAGGGAAGCUAGGAGUACCCGUCGGGCUCAUAACCCGAAGAUCGCUGGUUCAAACGAGAAACUGAGUUUAUCGCAUAGAAAAACGCAGUUUUUCUGAACGUCCAGCCUCCGCUA
rnacentral:tRNA from 1 species